rnacentral:rRNA from 1 species
UGGGGAAUCUUGCACAAUGGGGGCAACCCUGAUGCAGCGACGCCGCGUGAGCGAUGAAGCCCUUCGGGGCGUAAAGCUCUUUCGACCGGAACGAUAAUGACGGUACCGGGAGAAGAAGCUGCGGCUAACUACGUGCCAGCAGCCGCGGUAAUACGUAGGCAGCAAGCGUUGUUCGGAGUUACUGGGCGUAAAGAGUGCGUAGGCGGUUUUCUAAGUUCGGUGUGAAAUCUCCCGGCUUAACUGGGAGGGUGCGCCGAAGACUGGGAAGCUGGAGUGUGGGAAAGGCAGGCGGAAUUCCUGGUGUAGCGGUGAAAUGCGUAGAUAUCAGGAGGAACACCGGCGGUGUAGACGGCUUGCUAGACCAUAACUGACGCUAAGGCACGAAAGCGUGGGUAGCAAACA